CCUCAUCAGAAACUAAUGAUAUUAAAGAGAGCGAACACCGUCUCAGGCCAGGCUCUCUACACGGCAGCAUGGGUCAGACACGUGGGACCAGCACUCCUGAGGAAGUGGAAGAGAGUAUUAUCCUCAACUCUCUUUCCCCUGACAUACACACAAUCUCUUCAUCAAAUCAAUUAGCA